ACCGAGUGGACUUCCCGGCCAAGAUGGCUGACGGCAUCCCGUUAGAUCCGAUGCGGAAGAGCUCGAGGAGGAGCCCCUACAACUACUACUCCGUCAGACACUCGAGAUUCUCCGUCGACGAUGAGCCGUCGAGCCUGGACGAGAUGCCCCUGAUGAUGUCCGACGAGGCCUUGGAGAACGACGAAAGCGACUACCAAACGCUGCCCCGGGCCAGAGUCGACCGCAGACAGCGAGGCCUUGGCUGGUUCCUGCUCGGCGGCUGGAGAGUCCUCUGUGGAAGCUGCUGCGAUUGCCUCGUCCGAAUGUGCCGCCGCAAGAAGGAGCUGAAGGCCCGCACCGUGUGGCUCGGCCGGCCGGAGAAGUGCGACGACAAGUUCCCCAAAAACUCCAUCCGCAACCAGAAGUACAACGUCUUCACCUUUGUGCCGGGGGUUCUUUACCAGCAGUUCAAGUUCUUCCUCAAUCUCUACUUCCUGGUGGUGGCCUGCUCGCAGUUUGUGCCCUCGCUGAAGAUCGGAUACUUGUACACGUACUGGGCGCCUCUGGGUUUCGUGCUGGCCGUCACGAUGGUGCGCGAGGCCGUGGACGAGGUGCGGCGCCACCAGCGGGACAAAGAGAUGAACUCGCAGCUGUAUAGCAAGCUGACGCUGCGCGGUAAAAUCCAGGUGAAGAGCUCGGACAUCCAAGUGGGAGACCUGCUUAUCGUAGAGAAGAACCAAAGGAUUCCCGCAGACAUGAUCUUCCUGAGGACGUCGGAGAGGAACGGGACGGCGCGGCAUCACACAGAAACUGAACAUGCAACAAUGCAUGUUUCUGUCUGCUUGGAUCCAGGGGCGUGCUUCAUCAGAACCGACCAGCUGGACGGAGAGACGGACUGGAAGCUGAAAGUGGCCGUGGGGUGCACGCAGCAGCUUCCGGCACUGGGGGACCUCUUCUCCAUCAGCGCCUUCGUCUUCGCCCAGAAGCCCCAGCUGGACAUCCACAGCUUUGAGGGAAACUUCACACGGGACGACGCAGACCCCCAGGUCCACGAGAGCCUGAGCAUCGAAAACACGCUGUGGGCCAGCACGGUCGUCGCCUCGGGCAGCGUGAUCGGGGUGGUGAUCUACACCGGCAAGGAGACCCGCAGUGUACUCAACACGUCGUAUGCCAAAAACAAGGUGGGCCUAUUGGACCUGGAGCUGAACCGGCUUACCAAGGCCCUGUUCUUGGCCCAGUUGGUUCUGGCCAUCGUCAUGGAAGCGCUGCAUGGCUUUGUGGGUCUGUGGUUCCGCAAUGUCUUCCGCUUUGUGGUGCUCUUCUCCUACAUCAUCCCCAUUAGCCUGAGGGUCAAUCUAGAUAUGGGCAAGGCGGCCUACGGCUGGAUGAUCAUGAAGGACGAGAACAUUCCCGGCACGGUGGUGAGGACCAGCACCAUCCCGGAAGAGCUGGGCCGGCUGGUCUACCUGCUGACGGACAAAACAGGCACUUUGACACAGAACGAGAUGAUCUUCAAGCGGCUGCACCUGGGUACCGUGUCUUACGGCACCGACACCAUGGAUGAGAUCCAGAGCCAUAUCAUCCAGUCCUAUGCUCAGUCCUGUCAGGGCGCCUCCAGCGGCAGCACCGGCGGCUCCUCCACGGCGUCCCAGAAAUCCCAGAUCCCGGGCCCCAAAGUUCGCAAGAGCGUCAGCAGCCGCAUCCACGAGGCGGUGAAAGCCAUCGCCCUCUGCCACAACGUCACGCCCGUCUACGAGUCGUGCGGAGAGACCGAGACGGCGGAGGCCGACCAGGACUUCAGCGACGACAACCGCACUUACCAGGCCUCCAGUCCCGACGAGGUGGCGCUGGUGCGUUGGACGGAGAGCGUGGGCCUCACCCUGGUCAACCGAGACCUGGCCUCCCUGCAGCUGAAGACGCCCGCCGGGCAGAUCCUGUCCUUCAACAUCCUGCAGAUGUUUCCCUUCACCUCGGAGAGCAAGCGCAUGGGCAUCAUCGUCCGGGAGGAGACAACCGGAAACAUCACGUUCUACAUGAAGGGCGCCGACGUGGCCAUGGCGACCAUCGUCCAGUACAACGACUGGCUGGAAGAGGAGUGUGGCAACAUGGCCAGAGAAGGUCUGAGAACGCUGGUGGUGGCCAAGAAGUCUCUGUCUGAGGAGCAGUACCAGGAGUUUGAGAGCCGCUACAACCAGGCCAAGCUGAGCAUCCACGACCGCGCCCUGAAGGUGGCGGCGGUGGUGGAGAGCCUGGAGCGGGAGUUGGAGCUCCUCUGCCUGACCGGCGUGGAGGACCAGCUGCAGGCCGACGUCAGGCCCACGCUGGAGCUGCUCAGGAAUGCUGGCAUCAAGAUCUGGAUGUUGACCGGGGACAAGCUGGAAACGGCCACAUGCAUCGCCAAAAGCUCUCAUUUGGUCUCCAGAAACCAGGACAUUCAUGUUUUCCGACCGGUAUGUGCUUUCACUGCCCCAAAGUCUGAGAAGAAAACAGAGAGAGACGCAUUUUCCUUGGCGGAGGCAGAACUUCAACACAAAGCCAUCAAAUUGGUGACAAACCGAGGGGAGGCCCACCUGGAGCUCAACGCCUUCCGCAGGAAGCACGACUGCGCCCUGGUCAUCUCGGGCGACUCCCUGGAGGUGUGCCUGCGCUACUACGAGCACGAGUUUGUAGAGCUGGCGUGCCAGUGUCCCGCCGUGGUGUGCUGCCGCUGCUCGCCCACGCAGAAGGCCCAGAUCGUCACGCUGCUCCGGCAGCACACCGCCAACAGGACCUGCGCCAUCGGUGACGGUGGAAAUGAUGUUAGCAUGAUCCAGGCUGCAGACUGCGGUAUUGGAAUAGAAGGAAAGGAAGGCAAGCAGGCGUCGCUGGCGGCCGACUUCUCCAUCACGCAGUUCAAGCACAUCGGCCGCCUCCUCGUGGUGCACGGCAGGAACAGCUACAAGCGCUCGGCGGCCCUGGGCCAGUUUGUCAUGCACCGCGGCAUGAUCAUCUCGGCCAUGCAGGCUGUCUUCUCGUCCAUAUUCUACUUCGCUUCUGUUCCCUUGUACCAAGGGUUCCUCAUGGUUGGUUACGCCACCAUCUACACCAUGUUCCCGGUGUUCUCCUUGGUCCUGGACCAGGACGUGAAGCCGGAGAUGGCGCUUCUCUACCCGGAGCUCUACAAGGACCUGACCAAGGGCCGUUCGCUGUCCUUUAAGACCUUCCUGGUGUGGGUUUUGGUCAGCGUGUAUCAAGGGGGCAUCCUGAUGUACGGGGCGCUGUUGCUGUUCGAGUUGGAGUUCGUGCACGUGGUGGCCAUCUCGUUCACGGCGCUCGUCCUGACCGAGCUCCUGAUGGUGGCGCUGACGGUGCGCACGUGGCACUGGCUGAUGGUGCUGGCCGAGUUCCUCAGCCUGACCUGCUACCUGGCCUCGCUCGCCUUCCUCAACGAGUACUUCGGCAUCGGCAGAGUGUCCUUUGGAGCUUUCCUUGACUUGGCCUUCAUCACCACGUGGCCUUUCGUAUGGAAGGUGUCGUCCAUCACGCUGGUCAGCUGCCUGCCGCUUUACAUCAUCAAGUACCUGAAGCGGAAGUUCUCCCCGUCCAGCUACUCCAAACUGGCCUCCUGAGACCCACACGGACGCCAUCUUGUCACCAUCUCUUACGCACUUUUGCAACCGCCGCUACUCCUCGCUGCUGGAUGUGGAGGUCACCACAGAGAAGCAGAACCGGUCCGGACCCGUCCGAGUGGAUCCGGCGAUCGCGGUCUGGGCGGAACUGCCGGAGGAUCCCACUUUGAUAUUUUUUGCGUGCCAGCGUGUGCGAGAAGCUUGCGAAACUCCUCCAGGUGCCGGCGCGCCGAGAUCAAAGGCCACGUUUAUGCGUUAGCAAAUGUUUUUUUUUAUUUAUUUAUAUAUAUAUAUAUAAUAUAUAGCUCGUAAAAAAGGAGGUUAGACUUGCUGGGGGUCCUAUCAUGCGAUACCCUUGGAACGUUCCAUCGCAGUAAAUCUCUCAUUCGAGAAUUGUGUUCAUAUCAUUUCAUUCAUAUUCUUUUGAAUUAUUUCUGUUAGUUGAUUAUAUUUUGUACUCACUUUGUUUCCAUCAAUUGUAUAUUUUAUACUUUAUAUUUUCUUCAUCGUAUCAUUUAUAAAUGUGUAAUUGCGCAAUGUCUGAUGUCAUUUUCAUAUUUGAAUAAUUUUAUUGCAUUGAUUCCAUUUUGUAUUUAUUUUAUUCUAUUAUUAAUCAUACGUGUAUCAUAAUAUUUGUUACUAUUUGGUGAAGAACUGCUGCGUAUCAAAAUGAGCGCUGUCACCCACUUCAAAGGAUGACUGCGCAUGCUCAGUUAUAGCCCACGUUCGUUUCCUGUGUUUUUAUUUAUUUUAUAUUUUUAUUUUUUUAGCUCAUUAAAACCCACGUGUUUGUCAUUGUCUGCCCCGGUCUACGUUCUGGCCCGGUUCUUCGGACUUGGCGCUGUUUUGCGGCUUCCCUGCCAGCCUCUCUCGUCCCCGACUGCGUCAAAACAAAAUCAAUGCAAAAUAAAAUGGCCCGCGCGCGCGCGCGCACGCACGCACGCGCACCAGCAGGAUCUCCACCGGAUGGCGUCACUCGCGUCAGGGGGCGGGGCCGAAGAGCCGCUGAGGUGAUCCCCCGGUUUAUAAGGCGCUCCAGCUGCCGCGCACAGCCCGAGCGCCGCGUCACUGGCGACCCGACACAAGCAGGAGCGUCCUCCCUCCCCCCCCCGCCCCCCCCGGUCCCCGACCCGACCACCCACCACAACAACCAAACCCUUUUGGAUUCCCCACCGUUCGGGCUGUUUUUUUGCAAGUGGGCAACUCCUGGAACUGCGCGACUUUAUGGAUCACGAAGCGACCCGCUUUGCGUCGGAA